CCCUUAGAUGUUCUGGGCCGCACGCGCGCUACACUGAUGCAUUCAACGAGUUUCUUCCCGGUCCGAGAGGAAUGGGUAACCUUUUGAAAGUGCAUCGUGAUAGGGAUAGACUAUUGCAAUUAUUGGUCUUCAACGAGGAAUUCCUAGUAGACGUAGUUCAUCAGACUGCAUCGAUUACGUCCCUGCCCUUUGUACACACCGCCCGUCGCUCCUACCGAUUGAAUGCUCAGGUGAGCCAUUCGGACUUUCAUCAUGCUGGUUUCCAGUUUUGAUGAAGGAAAGUCUUGCGAACCUUAUCAUUUAGAGGAAGGAGAAGUCGUAACA
rnacentral:rRNA from 1 species